CUACCCUCUCAGUUUAAAUAAAACAGGUUUUGUUUGAUAUAAAGAAAAUUGCCUUCAUCUUUUGGAUAAUCAAACACAGGAG